GCCAUCCUGCCCCACGUUGGUCUGUCCUCUCACUACAGUUCGAAUGUUGUCAUCCAACUUCCUUAUUUUCAAUCUGAUUUUGUUGACAACUUCAUCGAUGUUUGCCAAAGAUUGCUCAGUGGGAAAGAGAGUGUUAAUAUACUCCACAGCAUUGAAAUCUGCUCUGUCCAGGGGGUCUUGGCUGGGAAAUACCUGCUCGAUGGCGGCCUGCACGGCGGGGGCCAACUCCAGCGCCGCCUCCAGCCCGGCCGCCAGCUCCAGCUCGUCCUCCUCCAUGGCGCCGCGCCGCUUCCG
rnacentral:lncRNA from 1 species